GGGAAAUGUAGUCCCAAGAGGUGGCCUUCUCUUUAUCCUGAUUCCUGUAAUGGCUGCUUCCUGUCCGGUAAUAUAAGAGUCCUGACCCCAGGGAUCCUUAGCUGUUGUCGCUGCUGCCACAGCGCCGAGUACUCCCGGGGAAAGGUGCCAUAAAGGGAAGCCUUGAUCUUCAGCCAGAAGGGAGAGUGCCCCGCACGUUGCCCGGUGCAUAGCCCGGCUCUUGAUACUAGCCUUGAUUAUUUUCCUUCAGCCUUCAAGAUCCAGGCAACAUGGCCUCCAUUGGCGAUAUCUCCAAAGUGUUCCUGGUCCUCCUUUCCCUGCUCUGUGUGCUGCCUGUUGUUGAAGCAGUAGAAGCUGGGGAUGGCAUAGCACUUCUGUUGGGCAUGUUUCUGAGCCUUACAGGCAUUUGUGCCUGUUUGGGGAUAUAUGCCAGAAAGAGAAAUGGACAGAUGUGACUUUGGUGGGGGAUGGGGUCUCCCAAGUCAGACAUGGACCUGAAAACCUCUCUGUGUUUGAGAUUUCAAACUGAGAAAUCAGUUUCUUAAACAUCAAGGUCCAGAUAGUAAGCAAAUGGUUAUUUUCUAUUCCUUGGAAGAUGUUGCCUUAAAAUGUAAAAGCUGCUUUAUGUGAAAGUGGAAGGAGGGGUCAUUUUAUUCACGUUCAGUAUAAGCCUGAUGGUUCAUCAAUGUGAAAAUUGGUCAAUAACUUGUAAGGACUGAUAGGAUAGGGUGAAGGGUGCUGUGAAAGAAAUAAAGUAACUAUCAUUUAAUCUAAGUGGUAUUCCAUGACUUCUGGAGUAACGAAGAUAUAGGAAAAAGGAACUACCUGUUUAAAAUUGUUGGACGUCAGAUAUCUUCUGUACCCUAAUAUUAUCCAAAGAGGAGUUGAAGAAUCCUUGUUCUGUAUUUAUAUAAAAAAAUUUGUCUAGUUUGUAGCCCCAGAUAAAUACUACAGUUAAACAUAAAAGUUCACCUAGUAGGCAUUUGGAAGUUUAGAAAAUUCUUUCUUCAUAAGGAAUUCAGAAACAUGUAUGUUACUACAUAUUUGCUGUUUAAAUAAAGGAAAGAUUUAAUGUUUAAAAAAAAGUUUUAUAUUGACUACUAAGCACCUCUGUGAAACACAUUAAAAUAAACAUUAGACUGCUGUGCUAACAAAAUGAA